UGCCCUGUGUUGGCUGGGAUUGGCUCCAGCAGACUCCCGUGAGCCUGUGUUCGGAUUCAGCGGGUUGGAAAAUGGAUGGAUGCAUGGAUGUUUGUGGUGUGCCAUCUAAUGAAAUGACUGAUUGUCUCUGUUAUAUUCCAUUUGUUAUGUGUUUCAUAAAAGGAGUGUUAAUGUUUAUGAUGCGCCAUCUGUUGGAAUGACUAAUCCAACACAUUUUAUUACUGCAUACAUUGCAAAAUACAUUCUAAUAGAUGAUGCAUUACAAAUGUUAACACUGAGGUCUACGUUGAUUACUUAGAAAGGGGUAACACAGCUAGUUAAAGAUAUACUGUUUAUUCAUUUUUUGACAUUAAAGAGCAAACUGAACAUAUUGAACAAACUUAACACAGCUCGAUGUUGCUGGUUUAGGCUCCCCCUCCACGUGACCUUAAAGAGCGUGUUUUUACAACCUCCACUGACUAACGCUGCAAUUUAAGACAAGGUGUUUUUUUCUGAUCCCAUAUGAAAAAGGACAACCAGCAAUCUGGACGAGGCCUUGCAAAUGGACUGUCCAGGGUUGGUUCCUGCCUUGUGCUUGAUGUUGCCCGGUUGGGCUCCCAGUGACCUCAUCAUUUUAUUAAUGCUGUAAUCAAAGACGAAGCGUUUCUACUGAUAAAGAGCUAAGUGAUUCCAUAUAAUAUGCUUCAGUAGGAACCAGCAAAUUUGGUUACGGACGGGUGCCCCAUUCAGCAUUGAUUCCUGCCUUGUGCUCAGUGUUGUUAAUUUAGGUUCCCCCUUCUCUGUAACCUUAAAAAAAACAUGUUUUACAACCUCAAGUCAUUAACUGAAGUGUUUUUUUUUCUGAUCCCGUAUAGCGCAUUUGAAUUAAGACUGACAGGGCUAAUUCCUGCUUUGUGCUCAGCAUUGCCCGUUUUGGCUCCCCCUCCCUGUAACCACAAGGAUCGUGUUUCCCAACCUCCAUUCAUGAAUACUGUAAUCUAAGACAAUGUGUUUCUUCUGAUAAAGAACUACGUGAUCCCAUAUGGCGCAUUUCAGCAGCACCCAGUAACGUGGAGAUGGACUGUGCAGGGUCAGAUCCUGUGUUGAGCUCAACGUUGUCAGUUUAGACUCCCUCCUCCCCGUGAACCUGCAAAGCAGUUCUUUAUAACCUUCAGUCAUUAAGUCUGCAAUUUCAGACAAGGUACUACUUUUGAUAAAGAGCUAAGUGGUCCCAGAACACUUCAAGUAGGACCACCAGCAGUUUGGAUGUGGCCUUUGGAGGUGGACCAGAGCCCCGUCUAAGGUUGAUUCCUGCUCUGCUCUCACUGAUGACGGGUUUAGGCUCCCUCCUCUCUGUGAACAUAAAAAGCACUUUUUACAACUUUCGGUCAUUAAUGUAGCUUAGGAUGAUGUGUUUGUUUUAUUUCUGUUCCCACACAGUGCAUUUAAAGGAGGACAACCAGCAGUUUGGUUGUGGACUGUCCUGCCUUGCAUUUGAGGUGGCCAGUUUAGGUUCACCUUCCCUGAAACCUUAAAAAAGCGAAUCUUACAUCCUCCAGUUAUUAAGACUGUAAGCCAAGACGAGGCCUUUCUUAUGAUAAAAAGCUAAGUAAUCUCAUAGAGUGUCACGCAUUUGAAGUUGGACAACCAGCAGUUUGGAUGUGGACUGUCCUGCCUUGCACUUGAGGCUGCCAGUUUAGGCUCCACCUUCCCUGAAAUGGGUGAAUUUGAAGUUGGACAAUCCGCAGUCUGGACGCGGCCUUGUGUGUGGACAGUCUAGGGUUAAUUCCUGCCCUGUGUUCACUGGUGCCCGUUUAGGCUCCACCCACCCGCUUAACGAUCGUGUUUUAUAACCUCCGCUCCUUAACAAUGUGCUUCUUCUGAUGAAGAGCUAAGUGAUCCCACAUACUGUAGCACGUUACACGUAAGACAACCAGCAAACUGGAUGUGGCCUUAGGUGUGGACUGGCCAAGGCUGGUCCCUGCCUUGUGCUCACUCUUACUCCCCGUAACAUUAAAAA